rnacentral:rRNA from 1 species
UACGUAGGGCGCAAGCGUUAUCCGGAAUUAUUGGGCGUAAAGAGCUCGUAGGCGGUUUGUCGCGUCUGCCGUGAAAGUCCGGGGCUCAACUCCGGAUCUGCGGUGGGUACGGGCAGACUAGAGUGAUGUAGGGGAGACUGGAAUUCCUGGUGUAGCGGUGAAAUGCGCAGAUAUCAGGAGGAACACCGAUGGCGAAGGCAGGUCUCUGGGCAUUAACUGACACUGAAAAACGAAAGCCAGGGGAGCAAACGGG